GUGAUCUCCACUUGACUCCUUCCCGCUUUCAUUUGGUUGUAAAUACCACAAUUUAAACUAGCUGCCUGCUGCUGUGACCCUGCGUGGGAGGUUGUCUUGACAGAAGUGGCAGGCCUCCCUGGCCCCUCCCUCCUCCAGUAAACAACCAAAUUGCCUGAAAAUACAGUUGACCCUUGAACAACCUAAGUUUGAACGGCAUGAGUCCACUAUGCUUGGAUUUUCGUCUGCCUCUGCCACUCCUGAGACAGCAAGACCAACUCCUCCUCUUCCUCUUCCUCCUCAGCCUCCACAACUUGAAGACCAUGAGGAUGAAGAACUGGAUGACGAUCCGCUUCCACUUAAUGAAUAGCAAAUAUAUUUUCUCUUCCUUAUGAUUUUCUUAAUAACAUUUUUUUCUUUGGCUUUCUUUAUUAUAAGAAUACAGUAUCUAAUACACAUAAUGUACAAAAUAUGUGUUACUUGGCUGUUUAUGCUAUUGCUAAGGCUUCUGGUCAAUAGUAGGAUGUUGGAAGUUAAGUUUUAGAGGAGUCAAAAGUUAUACUCAGAUUCUCACCUGCACUGGGCUGGGUCCCCCUGACCCCAUGCUGUUCAGGUUUCCUCUGUAAUGGUGAUUUUCUGUAUCCUUUUACAGCUCUCAUUUCUUUCUCUUGUGUAAUUGUUUUGACCAGUGAGCAGAAAGAAAAGAGUUAACACAGGCGACCUGAAACUGCUUUUUUUAGAAAGUCCUGCUUGCAAGGUUGGCCCUUGGCUGGUGUCUGGAAACAGAUUUUGGGAGGGGUACACCAUUAACUGACUGAUAAGCGUGACUCACUGUUCCUAAAUUAUACAAACAGAAGAGUCCAUGCUGAGCGUCUCUUUUCUUCUGAGAUUCUGGAAUUUGGGUAUUUGCCAGGCAGAGGUGCUGUGUGACCAAACCCCAAUAAAAACUCUGAGUUCUGAGUCUUUUUUUUUGAGAGGGGACAUUGUUCUGUUGCCCAGGCUCAAGUGCAGUGGCCAGUCUUGUCUCAUUGCAGCCUUGACCUCCCAGGCUCAAAGGAUCCUCCCUGCUCAGCCUCCGGAGUAGCUGGGACUCGAGUUGUACUCCACCACCCCCGGUUAAUUUUUGUACUUUUUUGUAGAGACAAGAGAUCGGAUUUCGCCAUGUUGCUCAGGCUGGUCUUAAACUCCAGGGCUCAAACGAUCCUCCUGCCUUAGCCACCCAAAGUGCUGGGAUUACUGGUGUGAGCCACCCUGCUUGGCAGGGUACUGAGUCUUUAAUGGGCUUCCCUAUUUGGGCUGCAUCUUGAAUGUGUUGUCACAACUCCUUGCUGGGGGAAUGACUCCCUGGGUGAGGACCCUUGGAACCUUGUGCCUGAUUCUCUCUUGAGCUUCCCCUUGAUCUCUUCCUUUUGCUGAUUGUGCUUGCAACCCUUUUGCUGUAAUAAACCUGUGUACUGGGUCUUGUAA